rnacentral:rRNA from 1 species
ACAAUGAAGAGUUUGAUCCUGGCUCAGGAUGAACGCUAGCUACAGGCUUAACACAUGCAAGUCGAGGGGCAGCAUUUCAGUUUGCUUGCAAACUGGAGAUGGCGACCGGCGCACGGGUGAGUAACACGUAUCCAACCUGCCGAUAACUCGGGGAUAGCCUUUCGAAAGAAAGAUUAAUACCCGAUGGUAUAAUCAGACCGCAUGGUCUUGUUAUUAAAGAAUUUCGGUUAUCGAUGGGGAUGCGUUCCAUUAGGCAGUUGGUGAGGUAACGGCUCACCAAACCUUCGAUGGAUAGGGGUUCUGAGAGGAAGGUCCCCCACAUUGGAACUGAGACACGGUCCAAACUCCUACGGGAGGCAGCAGUGAGGAAUAUUGGUCAAUGGGCGCAGGCCUGAACCAGCCAAGUAGCGUGAAGGAUGACUGCCCUAUGGGUUGUAAACUUCUUUUAUAUGGGAAUAAAGUUUUCCACGUGUGGAAUUUUGUAUGUACCAUAUGAAUAAGGAUCGGCUAACUCCGUGCCAGCAGCCGCGGUAAUACGGAGGAUCCGAGCGUUAUCCGGAUUUAUUGGGUUUAAAGGGAGCGUAGGUGGACAGUUAAGUCAGUUGUGAAAGUUUGCGGCUCAACCGUAAAAUUGCAGUUGAUACUGGCUGUCUUGAGUACAGUAGAGGUGGGCGGAAUUCGUGGUGUAGCGGUGAAAUGCUUAGAUAUCACGAAGAACUCCGAUUGCGAAGGCAGCUCACUGGACUGCAACUGACACUGAUGCUCGAAAGUGUGGGUAUCAAACAGGAUUAGAUACCCUGGUAGUCCACACAGUAAACGAUGAAUACUCGCUGUUUGCGAUAUACAGUAAGCGGCCAAGCGAAAGCAUUAAGUAUUCCACCUGGGGAGUACGCCGGCAACGGUGAAACUCAAAGGAAUUGACGGGGGCCCGCACAAGCGGAGGAACAUGUGGUUUAAUUCGAUGAUACGCGAGGAACCUUACCCGGGCUUAAAUUGCAUUUGAAUAAUCUGGAAACAGGUUAGCCGCAAGGCAAAUGUGAAGGUGCUGCAUGGUUGUCGUCAGCUCGUGCCGUGAGGUGUCGGCUUAAGUGCCAUAACGAGCGCAACCCUUAUCUUUAGUUACUAACAGGUCAUGCUGAGGACUCUAGAGAGACUGCCGUCGUAAGAUGUGAGGAAGGUGGGGAUGACGUCAAAUCAGCACGGCCCUUACGUCCGGGGCUACACACGUGUUACAAUGGGGGGUACAGAAGGCAGCUACCUGGUGACAGGAUGCUAAUCCCAAAAGCCUCUCUCAGUUCGGAUCGAAGUCUGCAACCCGACUUCGUGAAGCUGGAUUCGCUAGUAAUCGCGCAUCAGCCAUGGCGCGGUGAAUACGUUCCCGGGCCUUGUACACACCGCCCGUCAAGCCAUGAAAGCCGGGGGUACCUGAAGUACGUAACCGCAAGGAGCGUCCUAGGGUAAAACUGGUAAUUGGGGCUAAGUCGUAACAAGGUAGCCGUACCGGAAGGUGCGGCUGGAACACCUCCUUU